rnacentral:rRNA from 1 species
CAGUCGCCGCGGUAAUACGAAGGGUGCAAGCGUUACUCGGAAUUACUGGGCGUAAAGCGUGCGUAGGUGGUGGUUUAAGUCCGUUGUGAAAGCCCUGGGCUCAACCUGGGAAUUGCAGUGGAUACUGGGUCACUAGAGUGUGGUAGAGGAUAGUGGAAUUUCCGGUGUAGCAGUGAAAUGCGUAGAGAUGUGGAGGAACACCGAUGGCGAAGGCGACUAUCUGGGCCAACACUGACACUGAGGCACGAAAGCGUGGGGAGCAAACAGGAUUAGAUACCCCAGUAGUCCCUGUCUCUUAUAC